CAACCUGAGGAAGCCAUUUCAUGCAGAAUGUCAUGCAGUUUUAUCUGGAACUUGUUUAGUUUUGAUAAUUUAGCCUCACAUCUCUCUCUCUCUCUCUUCUUUUUCUUCAAAGCUUGCAAAUCUUGAAGCUUGCAAUUGGCCACGUUAGAAGAUACGUUCGGUAAGGAAGCUUCAAUAUAGGUGUAACAUGGUAGAGAGACAUCAUGGACCACUAUGCUUCUUCUCCCCUCUUUUGCUUCUCAUGCGUGUUAAAUGUCAGCCUCUAAAGUCAUGCCAUAUGUUGUCUUCGUAGAUAUAAAAACUGAGAGGUGUAAUAUCUGUGCAAUCAUUAGUCAUGCUGAUGACAAGGCACAACCUGCUCACCAGAAACAAGACGCUCAAGCAAUUCUUCGCAGCUGGAAAUCCAACAUCAAAAGAGGGCUGAAACCUGCGACUUGUUUAACCAGCAAGGAAAUGUGAAAGACACUGACUUGUAUAGAGCCAAAAUGCAAACAAAACCUUUUCCAUUCAUAGCAGAAGCUGAGGCCAGAGAACAAUAAGACAAUGGCACAGUAAGUAAAUCGGAAAGAAU